CUUGGUGCUCAUCCUUGUCUCCCCUGAGCAGAAGGACUCACACACAGAGACCUUCUCUUGGGCUCCUGGCUCCAUGACCCCCCUGAAGAUGCUGCUCCUGGUUGCUCUCCUCCUGGGGGCUUCCCUGCAGGAUGCCCAUGCAGCUCGAGGAACCAACGUGGGCCGGGAGUGCUGCCUGGAGUACUUCAAAGGGGCCAUUCCCCUCCGGAAGCUGGUGGGGUGGUACCAGACCUCAGACGAGUGUACCAGGGACGCCAUUGUGCUUGUGACCUUCCAGGGCAGAGCCAUCUGUUCUGACCCCAAGGACACGUGGGUGAAGAAGGCAAUCAGUGAAAUCUUCCUCCGAGACCCGUAUUGUAAACUCGGAAGUGUCGAGGACUACGAAGAGCUUGUCUUCUGAUGCAUGUGUAGAAGAAUUUCUCUGGGGCAGUGGAUCUCAACCCUGGAGGCACUUACCUGGGAAGGCAUUGCCAAAAUGCUGACACCUGUGGCCCUAUUCCCAAAGAUUGACUUAAUUGGUCUUUGGAAAGGAGUGUUCCGGGCAGUGGUGUUUUUAUUGCUGUGGGAGAAGCUAUCCGGGUGAUUCUAAUAUACAGCUAGUGUUGAAAUUGACACCAUGGGGGGAUAAUUGUCAAACCAAUCACACAGCCUUGCCAAGAGUUCCUGCGUGGCCACGCCCCCAUCGAUUCCUGGCUCCAAGGGUAGCUCCCCCAACCCCUCCCUGCCCAGCCUGCACGAGAAGAAGCAGGAGGCUGGAGGAGAGUCACAGAGCCAAGCCCGAUUUCUGGCCAAAAACCAGAGCGCUUCCAUGAGGUGCUCUGUGGAAGCUUCUUUCAGCCCCGCCGGCCCCGGCACGCGUGGAACCCCGUUUGAUGCUGCGACUCUAGGAGAGCCCUCAGCCUGGAGCAGCCAUGCCUGCUGGGAGGACGCCCCAGGGAGAGAUCGACGUGAAGCUGCUUUUUCACGGUUAAAAUUACACAAUGUAAGAGCUGCACUUUAUGACUCCUUAUACAGUACUCCAGUGGGAUUGUGUCAGUAAAUUAGAAGAAUGGAAAAUGCUUUGUGUUCCAUAGUCCCCCAAACUAAUCUUCUAAGGCAACAGGGGGCUCAUAAAAUACAUUUAUUAAACAUUAACCCUCAAAAAACAAGACAGAGCCACCACCCUCAAUCAACAUUUUCCGAAUAAAAUGGGACACAAUGCUCUUUCAAAUAUCUAAAAGCCAAAGGGCGAUACUUUUCAUCACCCGAGUUUUAUGUUGUUGUUAAUGUCUACUCUAAAAAAAAUAAAUAAGGAAGGAAAAACUGGCACCUAAGUCAACGUACUUAUAAGUGUGACUCAGAGCCCAGUUUCAUCAAUAAAAAGAGGUGGUGGAGAAGUUAUUGUCACGGCACUGGACCUGUCUGUUAAGCAGCUCUCCAAUUCUGACUGCUGCACAGACAUACCCAGGACCCUUCAAAAAUGUCAGUGGCAGGUAGUGAAAGCAGACAUCUGAGAAUAACUUCCGGAGAAAGUUUAUUUUUAAGGCACUCAGCAAACGUCAAAUUUUGAGGCAUCUGGCUCCUUUUAAGGAUGAAGGGAGCCAAAAGAAAAAAAUAAGGUGGAAGUCUGCUUAUCAGUUCAAACCAGGGAUCGAAACCUUUUAGGUCAAACGCAUAAAGAAUUCUGAAAACACUGACAGUUAUCAGAAAGGAAAGUGUUAAUUAAAAUGAACUGACUGAAGCUUACAAAGAGCGACAGAAAAGGUGAUAAUCAGCAAAGAAACAGGAAACUCAAAGGAAAAGACACGGAAUAUUGGCCUUCAGGCAAUUGACACAUUCAAAGUUAAGGGUUUCAGAAAGGGUAUCCAAGUGCUAGAAUUUCCAUAGGAAAGCUUCAUUGGAAGAUGGGUGGACAGUACUCAGAAAACAAGACCUCAUGGAGAGAUCAGUAGUGCUUCACUGAAAUCCAGAAAUAUGGCACUGAAAUUUUAAUAUUUGGGGAAGAGUUAGGCUUAGAGGGGUGUCCCCCACACCCAUUCAGGAGAGAGUACGAGGUUUUGAGAAGACUAGAUUUGAUUAGGAAUGUGCAGGAUAUGAAGCUAGGGUCCUACUGCACUUACUGUACAGAAUGGUAUGCUUAGUUAGCUCCUGCUGCCGGUUAUCCCUAAUCUCAAAACCAUUUACUUCUUUCCACUACUAGGAAGACUUGCCUGGUGAAAGAUUUCCCAAUGAGGCCCAAUGCAUUUAAAUUUCUGUUCAGUGACUAGACCAUGACCUCCCUGAGUCACGGAGCGCUUGGCACUCAUUGUCAGAAUAAAUGCCACCAGUCUUUCCCAAACUUGCAGAUCGUGUAAAUCACCCCCCUGGGGGGGGGGAGCAUUUGUUAAAUAAGAUUCCAGAUGUACUGAAUCAAGUCUCCAGGAGAAAGACCCCCCGAUAUCCAAUGUAUUAAAAAGCAUCCUGAUGGUUUUUCCAAUCUGGCAAGUUUGGGAAUACUCAAUUAUACCAACUCAACACCUUGGAGGUUCAGGGAUAUCGUACGUUCAAAAUUACAGCCUGGAAACUGAAAUACCGCCCCCGGGCAGAAACUUCAGCUUUCCCGACAUUUGAGAAGAGCGACUGAGACGCAAGGUCACAAUAGCUGGCCACUGGCAGAAGUGGGUCUCAGACCCCGGUCCCCUGGGCCUCAGGCCGGGUCUGAAAAUCAGGCAGCCCGGGAGGGGCAGAAGCCACCACGCCAAGAGCCUGGGGCAGGAGGGGGUCCACCCAACAGCUCGCAUGGGUUUCCCUCGGGCGAAAGCCCUCCGUGGUUCUCAGGGAGGUGGCCAUGGCCAUGUUUCCGCUGAGACACGGAGCUGCGAAUGAGAAAUCAGAGGAUGUGUGGCAGGGGCAGGCCGGGAGGGGGCCGUUGGGGAAAGUCGGGCUCUUGGACCACCAGGACA